rnacentral:lncRNA from 1 species
GCCUAGGAGGGAGGCAGGAAGCGCUCGAGGACUCACAAUCGAGGCUGCUGCUGGCCCCAGAGAAUUGGGAGGCCAGAGCGCCUCCGCCGCUGAAGGCCUGAGGGACGCUGAGGGAGAGGGUCCCUGCAGGUGGCCAGGCUGGGGACUCCACGGUGUGUCCUGGACUGUGAAUUGGGGUCUGGUCCUGGAGGCCACGCGGGGCGCCCCACGUGCCAAGAGACCUGCAGGGAGCGUCUCCUGGGCUGCCAGGUCCGGGGUUCUGAGGACGCUGGCCCCUCUGAUAGGCAGACUGAUGCCCUCCCAACGACGUCCAGCAAUCUGUAAAUGUCACCUUCCUGGGCCAGGGGCUUUGCAGACGUGAUUUAUUUAAGGAUCUUAAAAUCGGGAGACAAUCCUGGAUUAUCCAGUGGCUCAGUGUGAUCACAGAAGUCCUUACAGGGGAAAGGGGGGAG